GGAAUUACUGUAGAGUAUUAUGAGAACUCUUUAGGAAGAAAUAGAAGUCAGAUAUUAUUACUGGAGAGACCAAAGUGUCACAGUACUGACAUUGGUUUGAUAUUUCUUUGUUCUAGAAUUGUAUGGGAGGAAGAGGCAUGUGUAGGAGAAAGAAAUAAUUGGAUGUAAUUAAGAUAAGCUUUGUACAUCUUCAGUUUCUAAAUUAAAAUGGCAUGUCUAAAAGAUUAGCUUUGAAAUAACAAGUUAUAAAAAAUGUUCAAAAUAAUAAGCAUUGUCUUUACUCCAGGUGAACUAUUGGGGCUGGAGGUAUUUUUACCCCUGGGCUUAAUCUCCAGGUUCAAGAAAAAAUACUCUUUUGUAAUCUUAUAGAUUCUUUUAUAAUACAUUAGAAUUUGUAAAGAAAAAUAAUA